GCUGCUUCUUGCCACCCUUCAUGGCCAGGUUCUCAGCCUCAUCCAGGCGGUGCUGGAGGUCCUUAACGGCAACCUCCAGGUUCUUCUUCAUCCUCUCCAGGUGCCAAGUCAGAUGACCCGCUGUCACCUGACUGGGUUCCAUUCGUCUUCUCAUACACACCAGCCACCAAGAAGAGAAAAUGGGAGAAGAAAGACAUGGAAAGGCAUGAGCAGCACAGAAGACCAAGAGGGUGGAGGAGAAAAAGAAACAAGAUGCUGAGGAUGAACAGUGUGACAACAGAUUACAGAGGGAAUGUAACAACCUCAGGGAGGAAACCAUAAACUGAAGGACAUUAUUAAAUCAGGAACAUUUGAUGUACUAGCUUCUGAAAAGGAUCAUGAGAAAAUGAAGGCAAUGACUGGAAUCCCCACAUACUCCAAGUCACAAGUA